rnacentral:rRNA from 1 species
CAGUCGCCACGGGAAUACGAAGGGGGCUAGCGUUGUUCGGAAUUACUGGGCGUAAAGCGCACGUAGGCGGAUAGGUCAGUCUGUCUUAAAAGUUCGGGGCUUAACCCCGUGAUGGGAUGGAAACUGCCAAUCUAGAGUAUCGGAGAGGAAAGUGGAAUUCCUAGUGUAGCGGUGAAAUGCGUAGAUAUUAGGAAGAACACCAGUGGCGAAGGCGACUUUCUGGACGAAAACUGACGCUGAGGCGCGAAAGCCAGGGGAGCGAACGGGAUUAGAGACCCCCGUAGUCCCUGUCUCUUAUACA